AGAAAGAGAGAGGAAGAGAAGGGGAGAGGAAAACAUUGAUGUGAGAGAGAAACAUCAAUUGGUUGCCUUCUAUAUGCACCUGGACCUGGGAUCACACAUGGUGGACCAGGAAUUGAACCUGCAACCCAGCAAAGCUGGCAGCAGGAGUUCCUGGGCUUCGUACCUGUUGCUGGAGGUGACUGGCUCCUUCUGACCCCAGCACCCGGACGGUGAAGAGGCCGAGGCCGAGGCCGAGAGGCCAUGGAGCUGUGCUUCUUCACGUGUGGACGACUGUGACAGAUCAUGAACUGAAGCCAGGUGGAGAGAAGACUAGAUUGGAACUCACUCCAGAUCCUCUUCUGGGCUUCUUCCAGAUGACCCCCAAUCACCUAUCUGGUCUCAGUGAGUACCUGUGACUUACAAAAAAAAAAUUUUAAAUCAACGACAACAAAAAU